rnacentral:rRNA from 1 species
AAUCCCUUAUCGAGGAUCAAUUGGAGGGCAAGUCUGGUGCCAGCAGCCGCGGUAAUUCCAGCUCCAAUAGCGUAUAUUAAAGUUGUUGCAGUUAAAAAGCUCGUAGUUGGAUUUGUGGUUUACGCAAGGCUUCCGUCCCUCUUGGGUUUCGGUGUUGCCUGGCGUUGCCAUCCUUGGGUGGAAUCUGUGUGGCAUUAGGUUGUCGUGCAGGGGAUGCCCAUCGUUUACUGUGAAAAAAUUAGAGUGUUCAAAGCAGGCUUAUGCCGUUGAAUAUGUUAGCAUGGAAUAAUAAUAUAGGACCUUGGUACUAUUUUGUUGGUUUGCGCACCGAGGUAAUGAUUAACAGGGUCAACUGGGGAUAUUCGUAUUCCGCUGUCAGAGGUGAAAUUCUUGGAUUUUUGGAAGACGAACUACUGCGAAAGCAUUUAUCAAGGAUGUUUUCAUUAAUCAAGAACGAAAGUUAGGGGAUCGAAGAUGAUUAGAUACCAUCCUAGUCUUAACCAUAAACUACGCCGACAAGGGAUUGGUGGAGUAUCGUUACGUCUCCAUCAGCACCUUAUGAGAAAUCAAAAGUCUUUGGGUUCCGGGGGGAGUAUGGUCGCAAGGCUGAAACUUAAAGAAAUUGACGGAAGGGCACCACCAGGAGUGGAGCCUGCGGCUAAAUUUGACCCAACACGGGAAAACUUACCAGGUCCAGACAUAGUGAGGAUUGACAGAUUGAGAGCUCUUUCUUGAUUCUAUGGGUGGUGGUGCAUGGCCGUUCUUAGUUGGUGAGUGAAUUGUCUGGUUAAUUCCGUUAACGAACGAGACCCCUGCCUGCUAAAUAGCCCAGUGAGUGAUUUUUCACUGACUGUUGGCUUCUUAGAGGGACGUGCAUUCUAUUAGAUGCAGGAAGAUAGGGGCAAUAACAGGUCUGUGAUGCCCUUAGAUGUCCUGGGCCGCACGCGCGCUACACUGAUGAAUUCAACGAGUUUUUUCCUUGGCCGAGAGGCCUGGGCAAUCUUUUGAACGUUCAUCGUGAUAGGGAUAGAUUAUUGCAAUUAUUAAUCUUGAACGAGGAAUUCCUAGUAAACGCAGAUCAUCAAUCUGCAUUGAUUACGUCCCUGCCCUUUGUACACACCGCCCGUCGCACCUACCGACUGAAUGGUCCGGUGAAGCCUCGGGAUUGUGGUCAGUUUGCUUUAUUGCGAGUUGAUUGCGAGAACUUGUCUAAACCUUAUCAUUUAGAGGAAGGUGAAGUC